CGAAUCACAUUGGAUAGUAGACAUGAAUAAACUAUCAAACCAAACAAUGUGGUCAAGAGUAUUAUAUUAGAGAAAGACCGUAUUGUAUUUGUAAUCCUAAACUGAAUAGGUUCUCCACCUCUUCUGAUUAGCUUGGGUAACCAUGAUAUGUGCUAGGUGUCACUCAUGAUUUGUGGAAGCCCUAAAUGUGUAUAAUCACUAAAGGGAGAAUUGAAAGUAAGUUUCAAUUCACAAUCGGUUUGAAAGAGUUCUAAUCGCCCACUGCCUCGCUAAAAGGAACCUAAUGGAUCGUACACCGUGUAAGGUAAAGAUUGAAGAAACAACGGAGAUGAGUAAGAAUAAUUAAAUGGUUUAAUUAUUUAUGGCAAGGAUUAAUUAAUAUGUUAAUUAAUCAAACAAAUAAGUUCGUUAAAAGACCACGGGUUAGUUUUGGGCCUCAAGGCCCAAUGGGCUUCGAACGUCAAGCUCAUUGACUUAAGUUGUAUGACAACUUAAUUCACAAAGGCCCAAAAGCCCAAUAAAACCCUUGUGGCCGGCCAUGUUAGAAGAAUGGCUUUGGUUCUUUAGGUCACUUAUUUAAAGGGACUAUAUAAAGGACUUUAUAGCCUAAAUUCAAUAAAGGGUUUCUUUUUAGGAAAUUGGAGAGAACACAAAGCUCUCCUUUCUCUCUAAAGAGGCCGGCCACCUUAGAGGAAAUUAACUAGCAAUCUUGCUUCCUCUAGGUCACUCAUUUCUUCAUCAAUCCAUCCUUGGUGUGGAGACUUAGAGGUUCUCAAUUUUGGGAACUUGGAGAAUCUUUUCUUCCAUCCAAAUCCAUGGAUCUAAGAAGCAAGGAAUGAAGGCUCUCUCCUUGGGUGAUUAGCCUUUGCUUAUGCAAAGAGGAAUCUACAAAGGUAUAAAUUUCUCAACUCA
rnacentral:lncRNA from 1 species